GACGAAGGGGGCUAGCGUUGUUCGGAAUUACUGGGCGUAAAGCGCGUGUAGGCGGUUGCCAAAGUCGGGUGUGAAAGCCUUGAGCUCAACUCAAGAAAUGCACUCGAUACUUGGUGACUAGAGGACCGGAGAGGAUAGUGGAAUUCCCAGUGUAGUGGUGAAAUACGUAGAGAUUGGGAAGAACACCAGUGGCGAAGGCGGCUAUCUGGACGGUUUCUGACGCUAAGACGCAAAAGCGUGGGGAGCAAACAGG
rnacentral:rRNA from 1 species